rnacentral:rRNA from 1 species
AUGGAUCUACACCCCCAGGUGUUGUGCUAGAAUGUUCGUGUCCUGAACAAUCCGGCGAAGCGCAAGGCGGUGAGAGAAUUCGUGAGCUCGGUGAAGUGUAACUUGGUUUGUUUCAAGGAAACCAAGAUGGAUGUAAUGGACCAUUUCAUUGUUAUGCAAUGCCUAGGGCCAUCUUUUGAUGACUUCGCUUACUUACCAUCCCAAGAGACUAGGGGUGGCAUCUUAUUAGCG